AUGAACGCUAGCGGCAGGCUUAACACAUGCAAGUCGAGGGGUAUAGUUCUUCGGAGCUAGAGACCGGCGCACGGGUGCGUAACGCGUAUGCAAUCUACCUUUCACAGAGGGAUAGCCCAGAGAAAUUUGGAUUAAUACCUCAUAGUAUUAUAGAGUGGCAUCACUUUAUAAUUAAAGUCACAACGGUGAAAGAUGAGCAUGCGUCCCAUUAGCUAGUUGGUAAGGUAACGGCUUACCAAGGCUACGAUGGGUAGGGGUCCUGAGAGGGAGAUCCCCCACACUGGUACUGAGACACGGACCAGACUCCUACGGGAGGCAGCAGUGAGGAAUAUUGGACAAUGGGCGCAAGCCUGAUCCAGCCAUGCCGCGUGCAGGAUGACGGUCCUAUGGAUUGUAAACUGCUUUUAUACAGGAAGAAACACCUCUACGUGUAGAGACUUGACGGUACUGUAAGAAUAAGGAUCGGCUAACUCCGUGCCAGCAGCCGCGGUAAUACGGAGGAUCCAAGCGUUAUCCGGAAUCAUUGGGUUUAAAGGGUCCGUAGGCGGUUUAGUAAGUCAGUGGUGAAAGCCCAUCGCUCAACGGUGGAACGGCCAUUGAUACUGCUAGACUUGAAUUAUUAGGAAGUAACUAGAAUAUGUAGUGUAGCGGUGAAAUGCUUAGAGAUUACAUGGAAUACCAAUUGCGAAGGCAGGUUACUACUAAUUGAUUGACGCUGAUGGACGAAAGCGUGGGUAGCGAACAGGAUUAGAUACCCUGGUAGUCCACGCCGUAAACGAUGGAUACUAGCUGUUGGGAGCAAUCUCAGUGGCUAAGCGAAAGUGAUA
rnacentral:rRNA from 1 species